rnacentral:tRNA from 1 species
GUUAAUGUAGCUUAAUAUAUAAAGCAAGACACUGAAAAUGUCUAGAUGGGCUACUUCACCCCAUAAACA